UAGAGUUUGAUCAUGGCUCAGGAUAAACGCUGGCGGCGUGCGUAAUACAUGCAAGUCGUACGGGCCCUUCGGGGCCAGUGGCGGACGGGUGAGUAACACGUAGGGAUCUGCCCCGAGGUGGGGGAUAACGGCGGGAAACCGUCGCUAAUCCCGCGUACGCUCGGCCUUCGGGUCGAGGAAAGCCUUCGGGCGCCUUGGGGGGAACCUGCGGCCCAUUAGCUGGUUGGUGGGGUAACGGCCUACCAAGGCGAUGAUGGGUAGCCGGUCUGAGAGGAUGGCCGGCCACACUGGGACUGAGAGACGGCCCAGACUCCUACGGGGGGCAGCAGUAAGGGAUUUUCCGCAAUGGGCGAAAGCCUGACGGAGCGACGCCGCGUGGGUGAGGACGCCCUUCGGGGUGUAAAGCCCUUUUCUCGGGGACGAGUAAGGACGGUACCCGGGGAAUAAGCCUCGGCUAACCACGUGCCAGCAGCCGCGGUAA
rnacentral:rRNA from 1 species